AAGCGACGCUAAACACAACCCAGAAAAUCCCUGUCCCGCAGAGUCCAAGUGCAGAAGCAGCGGGGCCGUCUCUGGCCGCGGGCGAGACUCUUCUGGAAAGACUACUCACCUAUAACAACUUCAGUGAGUAAACGUUGAAUGGCUUGAUCCCUACAUCUGCAGUUUGAGUUCUUUGCUGACUUUCUCCCAAACUCCAGCCUCUUUGAAGAAACUGAGUUGAAUCCAUCUUUUCCAGUUCCUUCUGACUGAGAGAAACCUGGUUAUUUUAUCCAACCUCCCGAAGUACGAUCCUCAGGACCCUUACACCGAGGAGGAGCUGGUGGAGAAGCUCACGCCAUUUGGUUUUAAACACGAACCGAGCAACAUCUACAUCGUCCCUCAGUGCAACAUGGCUUUUAUCACGAUGCCCGACGGUCGAGCGAUUCUGGAGCUGGUGAAAGCGUUUAUGAGGCCAGAUCCCAACGCGAUGUUCCGGGGCUGUGACCUUAUUCCCCACGUCAUCAACGAAGCAACGGUCGUCAUGACGCCGGCUUGGUUUUACUGGUAUGUGUCGCGGAUGUGCAAAUUUCACUGCGAAAACACCGCAGACAAACUGGUCUUCAUCACAGGUGUUUCUGACAGCGACGCUGUGGAACUCCGGAAAAAGCUGGAGAAGAUCGGAUCGGUCAAUAACUACCUGCCGCUGCUCAACAGGGUAACGACAACCGCAAUGAAAAACCUACAUUUACUCCUUGUUCUAAGAAAAUCCAAUCCCGGCUUUGUGUCAAAUGUCAAGCUAUGA
rnacentral:lncRNA from 1 species